CUGAGUUUUGUAUCACUCAUGACCAGCAGUGUCUUUGUUUAGGCACACCAAUGAAAAUUCUCAGUUUUUUGACCAACAUCUUAAAGCACUGUUUGAAGACUUACAGAAUCAUACUGCAAAGACGGAUGCAUUAAUAAAGAAGCUGGGCAUUGACAAUGUGUAUGAACAGCGUGAUGCUGCAGAGUACUUUGAGAAGAUUUUAACACUGACCAGUCCUCAGGCCUCACAGAUCUUCCAUGGCAUGUUGGCAAAAAAGACCACCUGUUGUAAAUGCCUGACAGAGACUGACAUAGAUAUACCGUUCUGGCAUCUUCCUCUUGCACUGGUGGAUUCCUGCACUGACACAAAAGGAAGUGAAGGAUACAG